AACCCCAUACCAAAUGUGUCAAACCGUAGACCAAUUCCCUGUUUUUCCUCACCCCGCCACCACUCUUCUUCGUCGGGAUCCAUCCGCACCGCAUCCAACUAGAGCAGGCCUAAGCACACCAACCAACGCCCCACUCGAUCCCCUCAUCCUCUGUACCCGACAAACCAGGGGACAACCGUCCUUGUUCUGCCUCCUCUCGAUCUGCAGUGUGUCCUCCUGGCACUUGCAGGAGCAUCCCGAGCGCCGUGCAGAAGUUCAUCCCGAGCUCCUCCAACCUCGCGACCUCGUCGCGAUGACCUGAGAUCAAGCCGCCGUCCCUUGUCCCCGUGCUAUCUCCACCACUCUUUCGUUUUUUUCUCCCAGUUUCUCAACUCUCUCUCUCUCUCUGUUUCUCUGGCAGGAUGCAUCACCGGCCACCGGAGCUUCUCCAUGGUCCCUUGGGCCUCGCCCCACCUCCAGGGACUGCCUCCGCGCCCUCUCCUUUCCCUAUCGUGCCUCCCGUGUUUCUCCUUCUCCUCCCUCCCGCUCAGCUCUCUCUCUCUCUCUCUCUCUCUUGACCAACAGGAACAUCAACCCCACCAUGGAUGGGGUGCUCGCAGCUUGUGCACCAGCGGUCCACCGCGAAUUGAUCCCCUGACGCUGGAAAUGGAGCCCGUGUCAUCGGAUCCACCGCUUCCGGACCGCGCCACCGGACAUCAUCGCCGCUGCCUUCCCGUUCCUCGCUGAGUUCCACAAAUGUGUCAAAAUGUGAGGAUCCGUUCGACUACGUAGGUUCGUCUGCUUCACGGAGUCGUUCUUUCAAGCGGGAUUACAUGUGAAAAGUGAACCAAAAUGACAAUGAUUGCUUUCAACUCAAGAUGAUCUUCAUCAAUAUUGAGCAUCCACAAUAAGUUCGCCUACAUGCCAAGUCAUGAACAUCAUUCGAAGUUCAGGAGUUGAUUUACUUCGCAACCCGGUCUCACCGAUCUGGGAAACUUGGUCCAACCAAUUUCUUCUAGAGGCGUGAUUAUCAUUCUUGGUUCUAUCAAACCACUUUGCGUAGGUGACUCCGAUAUUAUCACUGUCCUUGAUUUUCUGAUAUUUUCUGGUCUUUUGCCUUAGGGGGAGAAAGAUUAUCAAUGAUACCAUGUUUCAUUGCCUUCUAAGAUUUUAUUGAACAUUUUGGAGAACAAAAUCAGUAUUAGCAUCAUUUUUCAAGGGGGAGAAAACCUCAAUGAUCCCAAAAUA